UGGAUAGCGCCAGGCCUGAGUAUACAGGUGACGAGGAAAGAGCUUAUCGAAAGAUUCGGCGGAUGGCUCUAGGGACUGCACUCUACAAGUUGAAGAAAAAAAUAAUUGCAAAAUUAUAACAAAAAU
rnacentral:ncRNA from 1 species